rnacentral:rRNA from 1 species
UACGUAAGUGGCAAGCGUUGUUCGGAAUUACUGGGCGUAAAGAGUGUGUAGGCGGUGCUCCAAGUCUGGUGUGAAAUCUCCCGGCUUAACUGGGAGGGUGCAUUAGAAACUGGAAUGCUAGAGGAUGGGAGAGGUAAGCGGAAUUCCUGGUGUAGCGGUGAAAUGCGUAGAUAUCAGGAGGAACACCUGUGGUGUAGACAGCUUACUGGACCAUUUCUGACGCUGAGACACGAAAGCGUGGGUAGCAAACAGG